CAUUUUCCGUUUUAAAUAUUCAAGAGCCGCCAUUUUGCAACAAUGGUAAUUUUAAUACUGAGAUCCCUAAAUGGCUACAAAUGUAAAGUUCUGAAAAAUGUGACUACACAUUCUACAAAUAGGCUGUCUCUGCAAAUUUGCUGGGGGAAAGAAUGAACAAAUUCCCAAAUUUCGACGGCCUUUCACAUUUGUCUCUUAUUCCUAAAACCUAUGUAGAUAUCAAGUUCUCAUAAUUGUGAAAGAACCGUCAGCUCGCUCAGAUAGGAUAAGGUGUGGUUGUAAUCUUUGCUUGUAUUGAUUGAAGCACAAAACUCUGACUUGUUACAUGAAAUGGUGGUCGUGAUUUCUAAACGAAUAGAUAGAUUUGGUCAAGUUCAGCGAGUCGUUGGACAUCUCUUUUGGUCAAGCAGUGUGGUUCAGUCUGUUUCUGAAGCAAAAGAUGAAAUUGAAACAAUUGCUAGGAUCAUCAAUGACCACCCUUUUCCUGUUCAGCCUCUGCAACCAAUGCUUAAACAUCAUAUCUCUCCAAGUGUCCUAUCUACCACGUUUGUUGAAAAUGUCCUUGGUCGCCUAUUUGCAGCACAUGCAAAUGGUCUUAAAGCAUAUGAAUUUUUUGAGUUCUGUCUCCGCCAUUCUGAGUAUAGUCCGACCUCUGAUGCAUUUGAAAAGACACUUCAUGUACUAGCAAGAAUGCGUUACUUUGAUAAAGGCUGGGAACUAAUGAAGAAAAUUCACCAGCUACAACCGUCGUUGCUCACCCUUAAGUCAAUGAGCAUCAUGCUAUCAAGAAUAGCAAAAUAUCAGUCCUAUGAAGAUACCCUUGAAGCAUUUGAGAAGAUGGAGCAACAUUUAUUCCCCGGGAAGAAAUUUGGCACCGAAGAGUUCAAUAUUCUUCUUCGAGCAUUUUGCACGCAGAGGCAGAUGAAAGAAGCUCGUUCAGUAUUCAACAAACUCCAUUCUAGGUUCCCACCUGAUACCAAGACAAUGAAUAUCUUGCUUUUGGGGUUCAAGGAAUCAGGGGAUAUUACCGCGGUAGAGUUAUUUUACCAUGAGAUGGUUAAAAGAGGUUUUAAGCUUAAUUGCGUAACAUACAGUAUAAGAAUUGAUGCAUACUGCAAAAAAGGUCGUCUUGGUGAUGCUUUGAAGCUAUUUGAAGAAAUGGAUAAGGUAAAUUGCUUGCCUACAAUAGAAACGAUAACAACUUUGAUUCAUGGAGCAGGGAUUGCUCAUAAUAUAACUAAAGCCAAAGAACUCUUCGAUGAAAUCUUCAAGAGAAAUUUGCAACCAGAUACUGGAGCCUAUAAUGCCCUCUUGAGUUCACUUAGCAAAUCUAGGGAUGUUAAAUCUGCUGCAGUCUUAAUGGAUGAGAUGGAGGAGAAAAAUAUUGAGUUUGACUAUUUAACUUACCACACUAUGUUUUGGGGAUUUAUAAGAUCAAAUGAUGUUGGUGGUGUCAUUGCUCUUUAUGAAAGGAUGAUCAACAGAAAUUUCUUGCCUAAGGCACGUACGGUUGUGACUCUGAUGAAAUUCUUCUGUGGAAACGACAGAGUUGAUCUGGGUUUGAGUUUAUGGAAUUACCUGAUGGAUAAAGGGAACUGUCCACACUGCCAUUCCUUGGAAAUUCUGGUCACAGGAUUGUGUUCCCGUGGGAGAGUUGAAGAAGCAUUUGAGUGCUCUGAGGAAAUGUUGAAGAGGGGUAGGCACAUGAGCGAGCUAGUGUUUCAAAUGUUGAAGAGGUCUCUCUUACAGCUAGGAGAGGAGGAAAAGUUACAGAAGCUGUACCAAAUGACAAAGAAAUUAGAAACGAUAUUGCCUCCUUAUGGACAAACUAUUGGGCACAGCCUAGGUGCAGAUCUGUAGGUAAGGUGAAUAAAGUCACUUGCUUGAUGUAUUUGAUUCUAUGCUGGGUUGAGAUGUUGUGGCACUUUUGUCUCAAUUCUCUUUUGUAUGCAGGGUUGAGAUGUUGUGGCACUUUUGUCUCAAUUCUCUUUUGGCACACAUAUCUUUUGAUCGCAUAAUGGUGGCUGAUCUAUUCUUUCUAUUUAUACGUCUUAAAAAGCUAAUUGUUCUUCUCUUUCUUAAUUUUCUUGGAUAGGAGUUUUUCCUGUUAAAGAGGUUUGCUAUUCUGUUUAGUCCUUACCUCCUUAUUUUAUAGAUCUACGGAAGUUACUUUGAUAGCUUACCUUAAUAUAGGACACAUCAUGCAGUGCUACAUGAGAUGCAUAUAGCUGUUAGAAAGCUACAUUUUGGCAGUGCCAUCUAAAAGUACCACCUCUGAAAGGUGUCUAGUUGUCAUGAAACGAAUACUGAUUGCGGUGCUACAUGAAAUGCAUAACACUGUUAGAAAGCAACAUUUUGACAGUGCUGUCUAAAAGUGCAGCCUCUGAAAGUUGGCAUGGAAGGAAUAAUGACCUCUUCUGUACUUCUUUGCAUACUAGGAUCCCAUCACAAGUAACUGCAAAAGAUCUAAAUACUGAAAGGCUGAGAUAACUCAGAGGCUUAGCAAUGGCAGUGUCAUUGUGCUCUUGUCAGAUGAGUUGAACUCUAUACUAAGAAAUCGAUUUGUUACCGGCCUUCCCUGGUUUUCUUGCUCUUUCCUUCUUGUGCUCUCUUUUGCCAUUUUUUUCUUGUUCUUUUCUUUCUUAACAUGCUUAGUAACUGGGGAAUGGGUAUGGAAAGAAACGUUUUGAGUCCUUUAAAAUAUAAGUGUUUUGCGGAGAAAUUUUGACUUUUUGAGAAGAGUCGCCACUUAAUUUUGAAAAGGAAUUAAGAAACUUUUAGAGAGUUACUUCAAACGAUUCAAAACAGAAAAAUCGUUUUAAGUUUUGAAGAUUCCGAGUAAGUAAUUCCUAUUAACGUUUUAGGAAGGUGUUAGGCACCUAAAACGUUCGCUAAUUUGCGGUUAUCCGAACUGUUUAAAAAUCGUCUUUGAUUAACCUUGAAAAUGUUGGUUUUUGAAAAGAAAAGCGAUUUUAGGAAUAUUUUGGUGUCUAUGCAAAACCAAUUUUUAGCGAAAACACAUAAAAACAAAUUAGCAAAAGUAAGGGAAAGGGUAGAAGCAGAAGGACUUGAGUCAUUAGGCGAAAAUCGACAACCCUGUCCUAAUCUAGAUAUUGGGCUUUCAGCCCGUCUUCGACCUGUCCUAAUUCUAUGUUUUCGAGCCUUUAGCUUGAGUCUCGCUUCACCUGUAUUAAGUACAACUUUGACUUCGAGGCCCAAAUGAAUACAUAAGGAAAUAAAUAAAUAAAUGAAUAAAUAAAUAAAUGAAGACGACAAUAAGUAAAUAAACCAAAAUAAUAAAUGAGACUUUGGGGGUCUCGUAGCCGCUUCAAGAACGGGACUUUAACCCGUUUUCCUUUCGACUCCUUGCAACUUCGUAUGCCAUGCGAUGGAUUCUUGGAUUUUUCUUUUGGGCUUGAUUCAAUGAGACGGGCAAUGGCCCAUUAAGGAAAUGCAAGAAACAAGCCCGUUUGGACUCCGAGGUAUAUUCAUGCAAAGAAAGGAAAAGACAAAAGAGCGAAUUAAUGUAUAUUCUCAAAAAUUCUAUACUUGUAAAUGAAUUAUGUGAUGAAGAAGACAACAUUUUAAACAAAAGAACACACCAAUUCACUUACUACAUAUAGACACAUGAAACCAUAAAAUUUAUAUGAACUCUAGGAAUAUGAAACACAUGGCUUGCAAGGUUGAAGAAGAACUUUCAUUGACUAAUGAUUUCCAAACAAACAAUAGGAUAAGGUAAAAUAGGAAAUUCUCACAAUUGCAAGCAAACAACGUUAACAGAUUGUGUAUUAAGGUUAUAGGAGACUUUGGUGACUCAAAAGUAUAAACUAAAAGACUUAAGAAAGAACUUGUAACUUUCAACGGAAUAAAGAAACUUGUAAAAUAUUUCUUUACCCUGGUUUGACAUCUUUUGUCAAUAGGAGCCUUAAGAAUGAGAAAGGCCAUGACCAACUGAUACAAGGAACCAAAACAAACAUAAAAAUACAAUAAAAUAAAAAAGGACAGUGAAUCAGGCCAUAGUGUUCAAGCACACGUCUGCAAUGAGUUUAUAACUAGCAACGAGAAGAGAAAGAAAAGCCUAGUGUCACAGCAAUUUCGUUAGUAAAGUUUGGAACAUAAGUCACAAAACUAAAUCAUUAAACUUGUUAUUAGGCCGAGGAAUACUAAAUCAAAGGGAGGUUGUACAUGAAUUCUACAUCAAACAAGGAUAGCACUGAAACGGGGAUCAAACUUAAUAAUGAAAAGUAUGAAAUCGCGACGUGAAAUAGGCUGGGUAAAAGAAAACAGAAUCUUCACGAUAUGCUAAACAAGUUUUAGUAGUUAAUAAAUAAUAUUAUCAUGACACAGUACUCACUAAGUCGCACCACAAUUCGUUUUAUCUUAAAGGAACCUGACUAUUUCGAGGACCCAAUGGCCCAUUUUUUUUGAAAAUAGGUAUUAGCGUGUCCUUCGUCAACUUAAAUGACACACACUUUCCUCAAGCCAUUUACGCCCGUUUAGGCCUUAUGACAGCAGAGAAACCCAAAAGAAAAACGUAGCACAAACUUGAAACCACAAAAUUCAAUUCUAAUGCGAAAUCGACGAAAAGGCGUGGACUUUAACCCCUUUUUAGAACAGGAUAUUAGCAACAAUCUUUAGGCUAGAAGCUCAUCAUUCAAGCAAUAAAGCAUACACGAAGCCGAAUUCAAGGAAAUUUUCAUCAAAAGAAAAAAAAAGAAACAUUGUAUGAGCAAAAAAGUAAAUGCUCCCAGAUGAAUCCUAACAAAAUCAGAAGUUCUGAAAAUCAAUAUGUCCUAAAUGCGGAAACGACAACGAAGUUCGAAAGCUCACAAUUUAUAUGAAACCUGGGGCUUUCAUAGCCUCCUAGCGAGCUACACCCAGUACUCAAGAUUAUAAAACUACAACUACGAACAGGGCAACAAGGGGAUGAAAAUUAUUAAGCGAUAAUCACAACAUGAUCUUCAACUACUUCAAACAACAGACAGUCGACAAAAUGAUUCAUUAGGAGGACAAUUAAUCAGUAACGCCAAGAAUAGAUGACCAAUCACAGAAUCGAGACAAAGACGAUGAUGGCACAUAUCAGACAAUCAAGGCAGAAAUUAAUCCUAAUGUCGCAAUACAAACAACAUCAUCAUUCGCAAAAAGAGCAACCUAUGAUCUUUAAAACUUUCUCCAGCAACAAAUUCCCAGCGUAUUACUGUUAAAGUAUUAAUAACCAAAGAACGACUAAUAUGGAGAAAUGAGAUGAACGAGAAAGUGACAAUAAAACUAGAAGGGAGAGAUAUGUUUACCUCUUUCGGGGUAGAAAACGGGAUGACGAGCUAUAAGCAAAAUCGUCGCUACCGAAAUCUCGUGACGUCGACCACCAACAGAGCGUCCCUUCGCUUUUCCUCUUAGAAAUUUCGAAACUAGCUUGGAGAGAAGAGAGAAGAGCCCCCCAAAACUUCUAUGAAAGAACCCUAACCCCCCAGACUUUCUAAAACCCCUUUUCCUCGGCUCUCUAUGAGCCUUUUUAUAGAAGGGGUUGAGGGCAUUCCAGGGAUUUUCGAAAAUAUCCCAUUUCAAAUUCGAAACCCUCCCUCCAGCUCCAUUUUGCCCUCAAUUUGUACCUCUUCUGGAAUCGAUGUACCACUAGGGUUUGGGGAAAACGGAUUCUUUCCCAAAACCAAUGGAAAUUAGCCAAAUAAUGUACGAAAACGUACGAGUACCCUGAAAUUUGCUGAAUUUAUCCGUUGAAGGGACACCUACACAUCUUCUAGAGGAUUCUCGGAACCCCCGUGGUACGAACCCAUAUGCUACUCACGUGGGGAGUACGAUCGGAGUAAGGGAGAGGAGAAAUAGGGUAUUUUGUCGGGUCGAAGCUGAUUGGAAUCGGGUUGGAGCUGAAGUUGUUCGUGGGUUCCUGGUGAUUAUCGAUGGUGUUGCUGUUUUGGAGGAGAAGAGGGAUCUUAGGUGGGCUGGUUCAGCCGGUAUGGAUUGGGCUUGGGACGGUCAGUUAUUAAUUUGGGCUGCUAACAUUAGGGAAUUGGGCCUGGGGGUAGUGCUGAUUAAGUUGGGUGUUAAAUGGAGCUAAGGUUGGAUGGUUGUUGGACUGGGCUUGGGUAUGGAGUGGGUUGAUGAUUAAGCUUGAAUUGGAUUAUUUGGUUUCUAAUUGGGUAAUUUCUUGGGUAUCAUUUAAAAAAUAACCCCUAAUUAAAUUUGGGGUUAUUCAAAAAGAUAAUUUCGAUUUUAAUUGAGCCUAUCCUAUUUGAAUUUCGACCAAAUUGAAAGUUAAUUAGCCAAGUACAUCGCAAUUGUGGCCACUUUAACUUCACUUAUGAUCAAAUUUCACAGGAUGGUCAAAUUAGAUCGAAAUUUGACACGAAUCAAUACUUCUUUCAAUCCCAAGCUUCUUGAUUCGAUAAAAUUGAAUCAAUAUUUCUCCAAAUAUAUUAUUUUUUCAGAAUAAUCAUAUUUAAAUCAAGACUUCAACUGUUUGAACUUAUUUUCAAAAUAAUCUUUGAUUAAAAUCCGAUAUUAUUUAAGUGACAAAACUACAUAAUUUCGUAUAAUGGAAUACAAUAAUGUAUAAUCGUCACUCAAAAUGACAAACUUGCCCAGGUGAAUAUUCUUUUGAAAAAGUUCUAUUCAAUAAAUAUUUCGAUUUUAUUGAAACCGAAGAAGCUCGAAAUUAAUCUUGAUUAGGGAGGGCAAAAAUUAGGUGUCAACAGCAAGGAGAUUGUAAAAAUAUCCAAAUGUUUUUUGGUUCUGUGAUAGCUAAGAAACUCUGGCAAACUCAUGUCCCCGUGGAAUUUGGUAAAACUAAAAUUUGCAAAGAGUUGUGUCCGGGCAUUAAUAUUAAGCUUCUGCAAUACAGGGACUUCCCCAACUAUCUACUUGGGACUCCCAUUGGGGGCUAGCUGCAGAUCUGUUGAGAUAUGGAAUGGGAUGGUUGAAAAGUUUGAGAAAACGCCGGCCACCUGGCAACAACAACCUCUUUCUUGGAGACAGAAUUACUUUGAUUAACAAUGUGUUAUACAACAUUCUGACUUAUUUCAUGUCCUUAUUCCCUGUACCAGAUGAAAUAUUGCAGAAGCUUGAUAGCAUUAGUUCAUUCUUUUGGGAUGGCAAUAACGAGUCCCACAAACUUCACUUAAUGAAAUGGGAGAAGGUUGCUAUCCCAAGAUCACUUGGUGGACUAGGAGUCAAGGACCUGGCUACAUAGCAAAAGCAUGCUCUUUAAAUGGCAUUGGAGGUAUAAUCAAGAGGGCAUGGGACUUAGGAAGGAAGUGAUCCAAGCUUAAUGUGGACAUGAUAGCCAUUGGGUUACUGAGCCUAGUAGAUUACUUCAUGAUUGUGGAUUGUGGAAAGGAAUCAGGAAAUUGUGGACUGAUUUCACUUCUAAAACAACUCUACAGGUAGGAAUGGGUAGUGGGAACCACAUCCUCUCUGGAAAAGACCCUUGGCUUGGUCAGAAUCUAUUGAAGGAGCUCUACCCCAUGAUAUUAUCUAUUGCCUCUGAUCCUGAUUCCACUGUCUCACAAAAUUGGGAGGGGCGCACUUGGUGUCCUAGACUGAGAAGGGACCUGAAUGAUUGGGAGUUUGAUGCACUUGCAGCACUUAUGGGAAGAUUACUCUACUGCUGUCAAUCCCCUGAAAAAAGACAUGCUCAAAUGGGGCAACAACAUGGAUAGUUCCUACUUGGUCAAAGUCAAUUACCAACUUUUGAGUUCCAACAUAACUGUAAUUGAUCAGUGGCCAUGAAGCUAAUAUGGAAGGUCAAAUCGCUCCCCAAGAUUAGUGCUUUUUGCUUGCUAGCUCUGAAAAAUUCAUGCCACUUUAGACAACCUCAACUGAAGAGGAUUCAGCUCAGCCAACAGGAUGCUAUAUGUAUUUAAACAGUGUAGAAACUGUCAACCACCUUUUAUUGCACUGCCCUAUUGCUAUAGACAUCCGGUCAGUGUUCUCCCUUUUUGGUCUUCAGUGGGUUAUGCCUAAGAGUUUCAGAGAAGGUUGUCAGCUGGAGCAAUUGGAAAUUUGAGAAGUCUUUCAGAAGAUUAUGGUCUAUGGUUCCUGCUGUUGUUUUGUGGGAUGUUCUGAUGGCGUCUCAACUAACAGCUCCAAUUUCAAGGGCAUAUGUUAAGUCUUACUUUUUAGUUGGGUUAACCUUACACCUUUGUAUAAACAUGAACAAUUCUUGGAUUUUGUCAGCUCUCUUGUAUUAUGAUAGGUUUUGUGUUUGCCCUCUCUAGAGCUGACUGUUCCUACUUUUGUAAAUCUUUCAUCCUCUCGAUGCUUUGUUGUUAAUCCACUUCUUGCUUGCUCUCAAAAAAAAAAAAAGCUUCUAAACUCUCCACUUUCUCA